UAUGCAUGAGAAUGAUAAUUAUAGCUACCACCACAGCAUUUUCGCAUCCCGUAUGUUGACUGUGUUAUGUUGUGCUGGUAGUUUCUCUGCUCGUGGCGUGGUAAUGUGAGUUGGUAUUAACGAAAAACCUAUAUAUUCAAAAUUCUGAAAUGUUCUUGGGACUAAUAAUUGUUAAAGAUGAUAUAAGGACGCCUUGACAUCGUCUUCUGCAGAACGGUAUUAAUGAUCAAACAUAACUCACAAUGAAAAGCAUGAUGCACAUAUUUUAAGGUACGUAGUUUAUACGAUUCAUGUUUACGUUUACGUUUACAUCGUUUACUUUUUUACAUUUAUGAAGUGGAAUUGGAAUCAAGACGAAGUCCAGUAUUACAGGGAAUACUGUUUGUGAUUGGCAAUCGAGCACAAGACACGAUAAUUGUCGUUCCGACAUUCCGUGCAUGGUCACGGUCGCUACGUCCCACAAGCCGUUUUGUUUUUCAUAAAAAAGCGAUUAACGAAUUCCCAUGAUUUUACCAAGAUUAACGAAUUCCCAUGAUUUUAACUAUUUCGGAUUCUAUCUGCUCUUCUAAGUCUAACCCAGUACAAUACUCGAUAGCAAAAGUCGACCAAAAUUCAUUGGAUUUUUAAACUUAACGUUAAAGAAAGAGUGUUUGUGAGACAUGCUUAAUUCCGUUGGGAAAUUCCUUCUUUGUCUGCAUGGAAUUUUGAACGUGUAAGCGGAAAUAGCUAUAGUCUGUAUAAUUAUAAAUAUAGUAUAUGUAGUGGUGUAGUCCUAAAAUUUCAACAAGAACAUGUUCGAUCCUCGAUCGGAUCUCCCCCUUAAUAUAUAUAUCCACCACACACAUCUCUGUAUAUAGUAUGUACAUAUUUUAAGCUCGUUCGAGCUCCAUGACCCCAUGAUGGCAUUUUUUGGGUAGAAUACCUCUGGUAGAAUACUAGAAUACUCUAAUAUUCUGCGACACCAUUUCGUCCAUUUGGCACUACCUACACUGGCAUGCAGACCGUUCAAGGUUAAUGGCCGUUAAUAUGGCAGCGUUUACACUGUACCGUUUUCGUAGCGUUCUCGUAUUGUUCGAGAGAACUAGACUAUUGUCUUGCGUUCCCUUGAGGAUUAAGAACAAUACGAGAACGCUACGAAAACGGUACAGUGUAAACGCUGCCUAUAUCACAUUUCUAGUUUUGUUUAUUAUCUCAUUCCGUUGGUAUAUGUGAAAUGCGUCUUUAAUUGGGGGCAGUACGUAAUACCUAGCUAUAUGCUGAUAAAAGUACCCAUAAGAAAAUAUCGGCAAAUAAUAACAUAAGAAUCGUGAGUUAAUUUUUUUCUGGGGGGUAACCCCUAAUCAGUUUUUGGCGGCGUAGGUAGGGCUCAAGUAACAUUUAUACAAACACUAUAAAAUUACUUUUAAUAUAUUAUUUAUUAUAAAAUAACAUGUAUAUAACGCGUGCUCUGAUUGGUCGAAACCCGUGUUUGGAUCAGGCCAUCCAAACACGGAAAUUCAGUAGACUAUAUCGUGUUGUUGUUAUUUUAUAAAACAAUUACUUUAUGCUUUCCGUGUUUGGAUGGCCUGAUCCAAACACUUGGGAAUGUUGCUCGAGUUAAGAUUGAAAGCGCGCAAAAUCCACGCUUUUCCGAACUCUCGCAACAUCCCGCGUGUUUGGAUCAGGCCAUCCAAACACGGAAACCAUAAAGAAAUUGUAUAUUAUUUCCAUACUUUUUUUUAAAAGUUUUUUAGAACUUAUUUUAAAUCGCCAUCUAUCUAUACCAUAGAAAUAAUAGACAUAGACAUGUCUAUUAUUUCUAUGAUCUAUACGCACGCUUGACCACUAUAGAUUACAUGCAGCGUUCAAUAGAAAAAUGCUGCAUGUAGCAAGUUUUACGACUUUUUCAAGUUAACCAAGAACCUGCAUGUACCACGGUAUUACCGUAUUAGAUUAAUUGUGCUAAGAAAUAAUUUAUUUGUUGCGGUUCAGUAAAUUUUAAUAAACCUAUUUUUUGUUAUAUUUUAGUAAUUUUACAAAGGCAGGUUCGAAUCGUAGUUCAAAUGUGGUAAAUAUGCACGCACACAUAUAAUAUUGAUACAUGAUUUUGAUAUAUAUAUCUGUAGCUUGUUGGGAAGUUCGCUGUCUUUGACUUUAAAUUUGAGGACUUGGUGAAGAAAUGGAUGAUAGCAUUGAUCUCGAUAGAAAGGUGGAUGGAAAACAAUUUACUACAAAAGAAAACAUAGCAGAAGCAAAAGGUAUAUUCGUGUUUUUCUCCA